rnacentral:rRNA from 1 species
AUACGGAGGGUGCAAGCGUUACUCGGAAUCACUGGGCGUAAAGCGCGCGCAGGCGGUCUUUUAAGUUGGAUGUGAAAGCCUACGGCUCAACCGUAGAACUGCAUCCAAAACUAUUAGACUAGAGUGUGGGAGAGGAAGAUGGAAUUAGUUGUGUAGGGGUAAAAUCCGUAGAGAUAACUAGGAAUACCAAAAGCGAAGGCAAUCUUCUGGAACACUACUGACGCUGAGGCGUGAAAGCGUGGGGAGCAAACAGGAUUAGAUACCCUAGUAGUCC